rnacentral:rRNA from 1 species
UACGUAGGGGGCUAGCGUUGUCCGGCAUCAUUGGGCGUAAAGCGCGUGUAGGCGGUCCGGUAAGUCCGCUGUGAAAGUCGGGGGCUCAACCCUCGGAUGCCGGUGGAUACUGUCGAGCUCGAGUCCGGAAGAGGCGAGUGGAAUUCCUGGUGUAGCGGUGAAAUGCGCAGAUAUCAGGAGGAACACCAAUGGCGAAGGCAGCUCGCUGGGACGGUACUGACGCUGAGACGCGAAAGCGUGGGGAGCAAACAGG